rnacentral:rRNA from 1 species
CAGUCGCCACGGGAACACGGAGGGAGCUAGCGUUGUUCGGAAUUACUGGGCGUAAAGCGCGCGUAGGCGGUUACUCAAGUCAGAGGUGAAAGCCCGGGGCUCAACCCCGGAACUGCCUUUGAAACUAGGUGACUAGAAUCUUGGAGAGGUCAGUGGAAUUCCGAGUGUAGAGGUGAAAUUCGUAGAUAUUCGGAAGAACACCAGUGGCGAAGGCGACUGACUGGACAAGUAUUGACGCUGAGGUGCGAAAGCGUGGGGAGCAAACAGGAUUAGAUACCCCGGUAGUCCCUGUCUCUUAUAC